UUUCAGCGGAAGUAUGUAGGUUAGGUCAUGCCCUAAAAUUUAUUCGUAUCUCCAACAAGAUUAAAAAGUAAGUAAAGUAAUUAAAUUAUAUUGACAACUUGGCUCUUUUAGAAGGCAAAAAGGCUUACUAAGUAAUACUAAAUGUUAAAGUCCGGAACUAUGAACGUUGUUGUAGACAUAAAGUAAGUAGAAUUUUAAGCCUCUAUGCAGUUCACAUUUUCUUUUUAAAGACUUUAAUUGGUUUUAGUUCUCAAUAUUUCUAUUUCUCAUUUUAAGAAAUUGAUUAAAAUAAUAUUUGUUUUUCCCAAAACUUACUUUUUCUUUAUUCACUUUUUACUUUGCAAAACUUCUAAAAUAGAAAACACAAACUCGAAACAAAAUAGGCUCUUAUUUUUCUUCCCUAGUAGCAAGAUCAUUAUUCGCCAUGAAAAGGAAUGUAAGAAUAAUUUUGUUAAAUACAAUCAAAUCUUUAACAUUUAGUCUUAUGUAGUGUUUUUCUCAAUUCACAAGCCUAUUUUAAAAAGUGUUAUUUAUUUGAUUAUGGAAGUAAUAUUAGCCGGCAGCUUACAUAAGUGUAUGUUUAGUUCUUCAUAGAGGUUGCAAAUAGUCUGAGAGACUAGUUAAGUAAAGUGAAAUGAUAAGCUCAAAGCUAGAAAUACUAGAUCUUCAUUGUAUUAGAGAAAAAGGAGUUAGACACACCACUACUCUUGACGUGGUACAUAACUAUGUAUAGGCUUGUAGCUUAUUGGAUAGCACUGAUCUUCAUCAUAUGCUAAGCAUUCUAAAAUAUA